rnacentral:rRNA from 1 species
UUAUCCUACGGGACGCAGCAGUGGGGAAUAUUGGGCAAUGGGCGCAAGCCUGACCCAGCAACGCCGCGUGAAGGAAGAAGGCUUUCGGGUUGUAAACUUCUUUUAAGAGGGAAGAGCAGAGGACGGUACCUCUUGAAUAAGCCACGGCUAACUACGUGCCAGCAGCCGCGGUAAUACGUAGGUGGCAAGCGUUGUCCGGAUUUACUGGGUGUAAAGGGCGUGCAGCCGGGCUGACAAGUCAGAUGUGAAAUCCCGCGGCUCAACCGCGGAACUGCAUUUGAAACUGUUAGUCUUGAGUACCGGCG